rnacentral:rRNA from 1 species
GAUGAACGCUGGCGGCGUGCCUAAUACAUGCAAGUCGAGCGAACGGACGAGAAGCUUGCGUCUCUGAUGUUAGCGGCGGACGGGUGAGUAACACGUGGAUAACCUACCUAUAAGACUGGGAUAACUUCGGGAAACCGGAGCUAAUACCGGAUGAUAUUUUGAACCGCAUGGUUCAAAAGUGAAAGACGGUCUUGCUGUCACUUAUAGAUGGAUCCGCGCUGCAUUAGCUAGUUGGUGAGGUAACGGCUUACCAAGGCAACGAUGCAUAGCCGACCUGAGAGGGUGAUCGGCCACACUGGAACUGGGACACGGUCCAGACUCCUACGGGAGGCAGCAGUAGGGAAUCUUCCGCAAUGGGCGAAAGCCUGACGGAGCGACGCCGCGUGAGUGAUGAAGGUCUUCGGAUCGUAAAACUCUGUUAUUAGGGAAGAACAUAUGUGUAAGUAACUGUGCACAUCUUGACGGUACCUAAUCAGAAAGCCCCGGCUAACUACGUG